GCCUGGGUGGCUCAGUGGUUGAGCGUCUGGCUUCGACUCAGGGUUCUGGGAUUGAGUCCCACAUCAGGCU
rnacentral:tRNA from 1 species